GAUGAACGCUGGCGGCGUGCCUAAUACAUGCAAGUCGAGCGAACAGACGAGGAGCUUGCUCCUCUGACGUUAGCGGCGGACGGGUGAGUAACACGUGGAUAACCUACCUAUAAGACUGGGAUAACUUCGGGAAACCGGAGCUAAUACCGGAUAAUAUAUUGAACCGCAUGGUUCAAUAGUGAAAGACGGUUUUGCUGUCACUUAUAGAUGGAUCCGCGCCGCAUUAGCUAGUUGGUAAGGUAACGGCUUACCAAGGCAACGAUGCGUAGCCGACCUAAGAGGGUGAUCGGCCACACUGGAACUGAGACACGGUCCAGACUCCUACGGGAGGCAGCAGUAGGGAAUCUUCCGCAAUGGGCGAAAGCCUGACGGAGCAACGCCGCGUGAGUGAUGAAGGUCUUCGGAUCGUAAAACUCUGUUAUUAGGGAAGAACAAAUGUGUAAGUAACUAUGCACGUCUUGACGGUACCUAAUCAGAAAGCCACGGCUAACUACGUG
rnacentral:rRNA from 1 species